CAGCCCCUCGAGUGGUGGGGAUGAUUAUUUGGCCUAAAGCGUCCGUAGCCGGCCGUGUAAGUCUCCCGUUAAAUCCAGCGUCUCAAGCGUUGGACUGCGGGAGAUACUGCUCGGCUAGAGAGUGGGAGAGGUGUGCGGUAUUCUGUGGGUAGGGGCGAAAUCCUUUGAUCCCCGGAGGACCACCAGUGGCGAAGGCUGCGCACUAGAACACGUCUGACGGUCAGGGACGAAAGCUGGGGUAGCGAACCGGAUUAGAUACCCGAGUAGUCC
rnacentral:rRNA from 1 species